AGAGUUAUAUUCAAUUAUGAUUUAUAAGUUGCAUUUAUAAGGUGUUUUAAUUUAAACUAACUUUA
rnacentral:tRNA from 1 species